UCAAAUGAAUUGACGGGGGCCCGCACAAGCGGAGGAACAUGUGGUUAAUUCGAUGAUACGCGAGGAACCUUACCUGGGCUUAAAUGGGGAGUGACAGCUGUCGAAAGAUGGUUUUCUUCGGACACUCUUCAAGGUGCUGCAUGGUUGUCGUCAGCUCGUGCCGUGAGGUGUCGGGUUAAGUCCCAUAACGAGCGCAACCCUUACCGUUAGUUACCAUCAGGUUAAGCUGGGGACUCUAGCGGGACUGCCACCGUAAGGUGAGAGGAAGGUGGGGAUGACGUCAAAUCAGCACGGCCCUUAUGUCCAGGGCUACACACGUGUUACAAUGGCCAGUACAAAGGGCAGCUACCGGGUGACCGGAUGCUAAUCUCUAAAGCUGGUCUCAGUUCGGAUCGAAGUCUGCAACCCGACUUCGUGAAGCUGGAUUCGCUAGUAAUCGCGCAUCAGCCAUGGCGCGGUGAAUACGUUCCCGGGCCUU
rnacentral:rRNA from 1 species